rnacentral:rRNA from 1 species
CCUACGGGAGGCAGCAGUGGGGGAUAUUGCACAAUGGGGGGAACCCUGAUGCAGCGACGCCGCGUGGGUGAAGGAGUGCUUCGGCAUGUAAAGCCCUAUCGGCAGGGAAGAAGCAAGACGGUACCUGACUAAGAAGCCCCGGCUAACUACGUGCCAGCAGCCGCGGGAAUACGUAGGGGGCGAGCGUUAGCCGGAUUCACUGGGUGUAAAGGGAGCGUAGACGGCCAUGCAAGCCAGGGGGGAAAGGCCGGGGCCCAACCCCGGGAAUGACCUUGGAACUGGCUGGCUGGAGUGCGGGAGGGGCAGGCGGAAUUCCAGGUGUAGCGGUGAAAUGCGUAGAUAUCAGGAGGAACACCGGCGGCGAAGGCGGCCUGCUGGACCGCGACUGACGUUGAGGCUCGAAAGCGUGGGGAGCGAACAGGAUUAGAUACCCCUGUAGUC